UGCCAGCCGCCGCGGUAAUACGGAGGUUGCAAGCGUUGUUCGGAAUUACUGGGCGUAAAGGGGGCGCAGGCGGUUCGAUUAGUCUGGAGUGAAAGCCCGGGGCUCAACCCCGGAAGGCCUUUGGAUACUGUCGAACUAGAGUACGGGAGAGGAGAGCGGAAUUCCUGGUGUAGAGGUGAAAUUCGUAGAUAUUCGGAGGAACACCAGUGGCGAAGGCGGCUCACUGGCUCGAUACUGACGCUGAGGUACGAAAGUGUGGGGAGCAAACAGGAUUAGAUA
rnacentral:rRNA from 1 species